UACAGGAAGGAGUCCAUAAGGAUCAAAUUGCCUCAGGCCCAUGAAAGUCAUAAUGUGUCUCUGUGAUCAAGAUGAGAACAGUUAAAGCACAAGAACACAGAGGCAAAGUCUGGUUAUAGAGUACUUGGUCAGAGCCACUACACUCUAUUUCCUCAUAACCUGUACUCCCUCUCCACUGUGAGUCUACUGAAGCAGGGUGCAUGUGUCUGUGUGUUGGGUGUCAGAGGGCACUGGCAAGAAGGCAAGGGUACCGAGAAGAAAUGAGCAGCCUCAAAUCCUUUGAGGAAGGAAGCAGAACAUAAAUAACAAAUAAAAUAUGGACUAAAUGAAAUAUUACUUAAGAAAUCUCCCCAGAUACAUUUUUUGAUGAACCUGAAAUCUUUUAGGUGCCUUUGGGGGAGUGUGUCUACCAGUGUCCGCAUCACCUGGAGUCCUGCCACAAAUGCAGAGAGACUAAGUGUUAACCAGCUGGACCUCUGUUUAACAACUUCUGUGAAGUAUUGUGCUCUGAAAGCCUGCUUGAUGGAUGGAGCUGUCAGCAUAUCCUCAAUCCAGAGAUGAGGAGGACACUGCCUGCCUAUCACCUCUAUAAAUCAGAUGAAUAAAAAUUAGUCACAAGCUAGGCCCAGGGAUGCUGUCUCAUUUUAGUAUUCUUCAUAGAUCAUAAUCUUUGAAA